UCCGGUGACCGUAGCGGAGGGGUCACACCCGUUCCCAUCCCGAACACGGAAGUUAAGCCCUCCAGCGCCGAUGGUACUGCAUUGGCAACGAUGUGGGAGAGUAGGUCGUCGCCGGAU
rnacentral:rRNA from 1 species